AUUGAACGCUGGCGGAAUGCUUUACAUAUGCAAGUCGAGCGGCAGCACGGGGGCAACCCUGGUGGCGAGCGGCGAACGGGUGAGUAACACAUCGGAACAUGCCCAGUCGUGGGGGAUAACACUUCGAAAGAAGUGCUAAUACCGCAUACGUCCUGAGGGAGAAAGCGGGGGAUCGCAAGACCUCGCGCGAUUGGAGUGGCCGAUGUCAGAUUAGCUAGUUGGUGGGGUAAAGGCCUACCAAGGCAACGAUCUGUAGCUGGUCUGAGAGGAUGAUCAGCCACACUGGGACUGAGACACGGCCCAGACUCCUACGGGAGGCAGCAGUGGGGAAUUUUGGACAAUGGGGGCAACCCUGAUCCAGCCAUUCCGCGUGAGUGAAGAAGGCCUUCGGGUUGUAAAGCUCUUUCGGCAGGAACGAAACGGUGAGCUCUAACAUAGCUUGCUAAUGACGGUACCUGAAAAAGAAGCACCGGCUAACUACGUG
rnacentral:rRNA from 1 species